AUUGAACGCUGGCGGCAGGCCUAACACAUGCAAGUCGAGCGGAGCGGCGGACGGGUGGGUAAUGCCUAGGAAUCUGCCUGGUCGUGGGGGAUAACGUCCGGAAACGGGCGGUAAUAGCGCAUACUAGCUGUUGAGUCUAGGUCUGAUUAGCUAGCUGGUGGGGUAAAGGCUUACCAAGCCGGCGAUCCGUGACUGGUCGGAGAGGAUGAUCAGUCACACUGGAACUGUGACACGGUCCAGACUCCUACGGGAGGCAGCAGUGGGGAAUAUUGGACAAUGGGCGAAAGCCUGAUGCAGCCAUGCCGCGUGUGUGAAGAAGGUCUUCGGAUUGUAAAGCACUUUAAGUUGGGAGGCGUUACCAACAGAAUAAGCACCGGCUAACUACGUGCCAGCAGCCGCGGUAAUAC
rnacentral:rRNA from 1 species